UACGUAGGGUGCAAGCGUUGUCCGGAAUUAUUGGGCGUAAAGAGCGUGUAGGCGGCCCGAUUAGUCUGCUGUGAAAGUCCAGGGCUCAACCCUGGAAUGCCGGUGGAUACUGUCGGGCUAGAGUCCGGAAGGGGCGAGUGGAAUUCCUGGUGUAGCGGUGAAAUGCGCAGAUAUCAGGAGGAACACCAAUGGCGAAGGCAGCUCGCUGGGACGUGACUGACGCUGAGACGCGAAAGUGUGGGGAGCAAACAGG
rnacentral:rRNA from 1 species